AGUAAGAUGCCUGAUUAAAGGGUUAUUUUGAUAGAAUAAAACAAGUAGAUAUAUUACUCUUAUUA
rnacentral:tRNA from 1 species